rnacentral:rRNA from 1 species
ACGUAGGUGGCGAGCGUUGUCCGGAUUUACUGGGAGUAAAGGGAGCAUAGGCGGACUUUUAAGUGAGAUGUGAAAUACCCGGGCUCAACUUGGGUGCUGCAUUUCAAACUGGAAGUCUAGAGUGCAGGAGAGGAGCAUGGAAUUCCUAGUGUAACAGUGAAAAGCGUAGAGAUUAGGAAGAACAUCAUUGGCGAAGGCGAUUGUCUUGUCUGUCACUGACGCUGAAGCUCGAACGCGUUGGGAGCAAACAG